rnacentral:rRNA from 1 species
CCUACGGGAGGCUGCAGUGAGGAAUAUUGGUCAAUGGACGGAAGUCUGAACCAGCCAAGUAGCGUGAAGGAUGACUGCCCUAUGGGUUGUAAACUUCUUUUAUAUGGGAAUAAAAUGUUCCACGUGUGGGAUUUUGUAUGUACCAUAUGAAUAAGGAUCGGCUAACUCCGUGCCAGCAGCCGCGGUAAUACGGAGGGUCCGAGCGUUAUCCGGAUUUAUUGGGUUUAAAGGGUGCGUAGGGGGAUUGUUAAGUCAGUUGGGAAAGUCUGCGGCUCAACCGGAAAAUUGCAGUUGAAACUGGCAGUCUUGAGUACAGUAGAGGUGGGCGGAAUGCGUGGUGUAGCGGUGAAAUGCUUAGAUAUCACGAAGAACUCCGAUUGCGAAGGCAGCUCACGGGACUGCAACUGACACUGAGGCUCGAAAGUGUGGGUAUCAAACAGGAUUAGAUACCCGUGUAGUC